rnacentral:rRNA from 1 species
GACGAACGCUGGCGGCGUGCUUAACACAUGCAAGUCGAACGAUGAAGCCUAGCUUGCUAGGUGGAUUAGUGGCGAACGGGUGAGUAAUACGUGAGUGACCUACCUUUGACUCUGGGAUAAGCCUGGGAAACUGGGUCUAAUACCGGAUACGACCAAUCUCCGCAUGGGGUGUUGGUGGAAAGCGUUAUGGAGUGGUUUUAGAUGGGCUCACGGCCUAUCAGCUUGUUGGUGAGGUAAUGGCUUACCAAGGCGACGACGGGUAGCCGGCCUGAGAGGGUGACCGGCCACACUGGGACUGAGACACGGCCCAGACUCCUACGGGAGGCAGCAGUGGGGAAUAUUGCACAAUGGGCGCAAGCCUGAUGCAGCGACGCCGCGUGAGGGAUGACGGCCUUCGGGUUGUAAACCUCUGUUAGCAUCGAAGAAGCGAAAGUGACGGUAGUGCAG